GCACCGGUGGCCUAGUGGUUAGAGCGUCCGCCUCGGAUGCGGGAGGUCGCGCGUUCGAACCCCAGUCGAGUCA